CCCGGAGGAGCUGGGAGACUUUCACCCUCCUUGACACCCUCCCCUGAAUUCUGAGUGUGGGCACUCAGGCACCUGCCAAGGAAGUUACCACGUCAAAGACCCCAAGGUGUCUCAAGCUCAACUCAUCAAAAUGAACCGAUCAUGUAACCUCAAACCAGCUUCUACUCUCUUCCUUGACUCAGUGAAAAGCCCCCUUGUCCACCCAAGUCGCCCGAGUCAGACAGCCCUAAGCUACCCUUCUUCUCUCUCAGCCCCAGACCCAGUUGGUAAUUCAUGUCCAACUGUCUAGUUGACACCUCCACUUUGAUGUCCACCAGGGGUCUUCAGCCUACAGGUGCUGCAAUCUCCUGAUCUCUCCCACCCCAGAGCUGCUCCUCCCAGUCUUGGUGAACAGUAGCUCCAUUCUUCUAGUUGCUCAGCUGAACCCCUGGAGUCAUUCUUCACUGCUUUCCCUACCAUCCUACAAACGGAUUCAUCCACAAUUCCUGUUAGCUCUACUUUCAAAAAAUAGCUAGACAUACUGAAAUAUUUACGGUGAAGGGAUAUGAUGUUUUGGACUAGGUUCCACAUAAUCCAGGGCAAUAGGGGGAGGGCGUGGAUGGGAUAGAUAUGAAACUAGACUGGCUAUGACUAGGUCAUUGUUGAGGCUGGGUAAUGAGUUCUUGAGUGCAUGAUAGACUACACUUUGCUGUAAUCUCUAAUUUUGAAUCUG
rnacentral:lncRNA from 1 species